AGAGUUUGAUCCUGGCUCAGAAUCAACGCUGGCAGCGUGCCUAACACAUGCAAGUCGAGCGAGAAAAGGGGAGCAAUCCCCUGAGUACAGCGGCGCACGGGUGAGUAACACGUGGGUAAUCUGCCCUGGAGUGGGGAAUAACACCGGGAAACCGGUGCUAAUACCGCAUACGAUCACAGAGUCUGCGGAUUUUGUGAUGAAAGGAGCAAUUUGCUCUAGGAGGAGCCCGCGGCUGAUUAGCUAGUUGGUGAGGUAAUGACUCACCAAGGCAACGAUCAGUAUCCGGUCUGAGAGGACGGUCGGACACACUGGAACUGAGACGCGGUCCAGACUCCUACGGGAGGCAGCAGUGGGGAAUUUUUGGCAAUGGAGGCAACCCUGACCAAGCAACGCCGCGUGGGUGAUGAAGUCUCUUGGGACGUAAAACCCUUUCGACGGGGACGAAAGCCGCAAGGUUGACGGUACCCGUAGAAGAGGCCCCG
rnacentral:rRNA from 1 species